UUUAAUGUUAUUAGCUAUUAGUGCUUCAUCUAAACUAAUUUUUUGCACAUCCUAAAUUUCAUCCACGUAUAAUGUGUUAUUGGAUGCGUCUUAGGUCUAAAUAAGCCCUACAAGGCUCGAACCUCUGAUGAGAAAGUAAUUCCAUAGCCAUAUAUUUAACAUAUGAGUUGUACUCUAACUUAGUUUUCUUUAUUUAUAAUUCUUUGUAGGAUUGUCUUUGACAUAUAUAAAAGAGCAGAAAAGUUAAUCAUCAAAAAACUGUUUAAGAAAAUUCCUUUAUUUGUUCCUAAGGUAACAUUCCUCACACUUAUUCUUGUUAUUAUGUUUAUUCUAUGUGCUUAAUUGUAUAAGUUGAACAAAUAUUUUUCACUUUCUCAUUAGAUAAAUGGUGAUGAAUAUUGUUUUUCAUUAAAUAAAUGGUGACCAAUGUUGUUUGAGUAAACAUAUUAGGCAAAAUAGAAAAUGAAUACGUGUUUUAAUGUUUGUUAGUACCUAUUUCUAAGUUGGUGUCUAAAUAAGAAAAUUAUAGUUUGAGUAGACAAGAACUGGUUUCUUAUUGUAGAGUAGUUAAACAAAAUAUUCAAUACUAAAGUUCUUUAUUAUCAAGUAUAUGUGAUUCCUAUCAUAUACCUCUUUAUGUUUUGUAGAUGUCGUUAGAAUAUAUAUUAUCUCCAAAUCAAUGAUUUUAUGCUACCAUUACUUAAUUUUCAAAUCAUCAAUAUCUUCAAGAUUUUGUAGAAUUUAUAGAUGGAGACAAUCAAGCUUCUUUAUUAUGCAGUCACUUUCAAUGAUUUAUCUAUGGAAGUACGUAUAAUGAACAAAAUGAAAAAUUUAGUAGCAAAUUAAUACACAAGUUUAUAAUGAGACUUAUCAACUGUGACAAAAAUAAUGAAGUUUGGGUACGAUUAGAGAUCAUGUGGCCCGUUUUGACAUGCAAGAAUUUUGUCUAAUUACCGAAUUACCAUGCCAUGAAGUAGCUGUUGAUUUGAAUUUCAAUAAUACUCACCUAAGGGAUGAAUACUUCGAUCGUUCAAAAAGAAUUACUAUGAAAAGACUUUCUGAAGUAUUUCACAUGUGUGAAAAUCUAGAAGAUAAAUUCAAGUUAGGAUUAGUUAUGUUCGUCGAAUGCGUUUUAAAACCAAAUGGAAGAUACAUCGAUUUUAGAACCCUUGGAAUGGUUGAACAACUUGAUGAAUUUCUUAUGUAUCCGUGGGGACGUAAAGCAUACUUUGUUUUACUAAAUUCAUUGCAAGAAUCACACCUUGAAAGAAUACGAAGGAUGCAACAAAAUGACCAAACGAAUUGUAAAUAUUCGUUACAUGGUUAUCCACUUGCAUUCCAGGUAUUUUUCUUUUAUUUUUUUCCCUAUUAAAUAUAAUUUAAUCAUAUAAAAACUUUAAUAUUUCUUUUAUUUUUAUUUCAGUAUUGGAUUUAUGAAUCUUUUCCUCAAAUCGGGUGACAAUUUGGGCGUCGUAUUCAUACACGCUUCCAGUGUCCACGAAUGCAUAAAUGGAAGUCCAAAAUAGUAUUAACAGAACAAGUCGUUAAACAAUUUUUGGCUACUCAACAGGUAUGAUUCAUAUCAAUUUACAAUUAAAUAUGUAUUUCAUUAUUUAUAAAUAAAUUUCAAAUCAUAAAUCUAAUAUUUUAUUGCAAUUAUAGAUCACAGUAAUUGCAGUAUUGAAUCCUACUGAAGAAGAAUUAGAAACAUUCUGGUAUACAAAUAUUUCAUUACCAGCUGACAACCAACAUUGUAUACUAAACAGCAUUGUCAAUGAUGAAUCCAACAAUAUAACAGAACAAAUUCCAGAUGGUAACGUACAUAUGCAAGAAACAACUAUAGGAACUUUAGCUGGAAUUGGAUCUACUUCUUCUGAAAGCUCAAACUAUAUAACUAAACAAGAUAUGGAUCAGAUGUUCAACAUAUAUAGACAACAAGUGGUGUCAGAUGUAUUUAGUUUCUAUGAUAAAUUAAAAACACAAGUGAUUGAAGAAUCUACAAAACAAGAAGCUUGCUAUCAUGCCAUUCUUAAACAGCAAGAAACUCACUACCAAAAGAUUCUUGACAAUCAAAAACAAUUUUUUGAACAUCAACAACAAAGCCAACAAGACUAUUUCUAUAGCAUGCAAUCUUAUGUGGAUACCAGUUUCAACUCAGCCAAAUCUUACAUUGAUGAACAAAAUCAAAGUAUGCAGAAUCAAUUAUCCGAUUGGUAAUCACACAUGGAAACGAUUGUCAGCUCUAUCCAACGAGAUAUACCUCCUCGUACAAGUCCAAUUGAGUUUGAAAUCCCUUCAACAUCUGAACAUAUUGAAGACAUAGAAAGAUCGGUGAAAGAAAAAAAAGGUAAACAAAAACAGAUACAAUCUUUAUCAACAACGUCGAUUAAUGCUUUAGAAGACUAUAAUAUCAACAAGUACAAAAAUAUUACAGAAUGGAUAUUACAAAAUUCAUCGGGGUAAGAUAUUUAAUUUUACGUUGCUAAUUUAAAUAUUAUAAUUGGUAUUUUACUCAUUUAACACUGAUUUAAAUUCUCUUAUACAUCGCAUAUUGGAACGAUGGAAUCGGCAAUCUAUGCGGAAAACAAUCGCUAGAAAAUAUACUAGAUGAAACGAAAAGUAUAAAUAUUGAGGUAAGUAAAAUUUAAUAAUCAUAAUUUAUUUUUCUCCAUUAUUCAUAGAUCUAAUUUACAUUUUUUGUUUACUAGCAUAUUGAUAUAGAAUUAAAGCUAUUGAGAAGGCUUGUUACCGUCGGUUCUCCGUUGCUUUCUAAAGAAUAUGCAAUCAUGGACCUUAGAUUCGAAACUGAAUGUGUUCAUUGGUAUAUAAAUAUGAAAGAAGGAACUGGCAAUUCUGUAACUAAUUUCAACGCAUUACAACGAUACAUAAAAGGAGAUUGCCUGUAUCUGCUCGACCUUAGAUAAUAUACAACUAUUUACUAAUUCCAUCAGCAUAUCCAGGCAACACUUGGUUUCUUUUUCUUGUUGAUUUUCAAAAGUGGAAAUUUCAUAUAUAUGAUUGUAGCCACACCAUUCAUACAUCAAAAGAAAUCAAAGCACGUGCAGAACCAGUAAUGACUGUAGUCGAAUCAUUAUUAAUCUCUGCAAACAUUUUCUCCAUCAAACCAAGUUUGAGAAAACAUAGAAAUAAACGUAUAAAAUUGGAAAUCAUACUGUAUCUACAUUGUCAAAAGAAUGGGUAAGCAUCUCCACAAUUCACUAUACUAUUUAAUUUUUUAUUUAAUUUAAUGUUAAAUUUACAUACAAUAUUAAUAUAAUCUAACUUUAAACUAUCUUUUCUAAGGCUAAAUUCUUGAGCUUUCGUUCUCAAGUACAUAAAUGCUUCGUUUUUGGAUAUCCAUUAGAAGUAGUUUCACCAAAGAAGAUAAGUUUGUACAGACAAAAAAUUGCAACAGAUAUCUGUCAAAAUGAAUAUUUUUUACGUCCCUGUUUAGCCUAAUUCUAACAAAUUUUGAAAAUACAGAAAGAUUCUUAAAAUACAGUAAGAUCCCUUUGUCAAAAUUCGAUGCACAAUCUAAUAUUUAUAACUUUAAAAUUGUUUAUUUUAAAUAUUUUUGUACAUGAGAAUAAGUGUAGAUUGUUCGAUAGCAAAUACAACACUACUUAACACACAAGAUUUCAAAGUGUCGGACUAAAGGCGCAAAUUAUGAUAUUUUGAGCAAUUAUCCUCUCUCUCUCUCUCACUCUUUCUGGAUGCACUAAAUUUUUAGUUUAAAAUUAAAGAAAGUUUGUUAAUAUCACUAUACUUAUUUUUACAGUGGAGACCAUACUGUAAAAGAAAUCAACUGUCAAAUUAGAAAAUGCUUAAACAUGUUGAAAGAUUAUCGAAGGAUACUUUGGGUGGUAAGCUUUUAUUCUAAAACUUUACAUAUUAAUUUCAUUAUUGUCUAUAAAACUACUGUGAAAUCUCUUUUUGGAAGAUCAGUCUAACAUUUAAACUCAUAGAGAUAAAUAAAUGGUAAGUUAAGGAAGAAAAAAAUAAAAAAGAUAGAUUAUACAAACGAAGGUAUAUUAUUUAAUUCCUCAUCAUGAAUAUGUUCUCAUCGCUUCUGACUAAUGAUAUAAAAAUUUAUCCAACCUUCUAUUAUGUAGAAUAUAUACCUUAAUGUUCUGUUCAACACAUUUUACAUAGUGUUAUGCAUCUAUUGCGACUUAUGAUCUACUUUUCACAAUAGAUUUUCCAUGUCUCAGAUAAUUGGAUGGUUGCGUUGUUUUAUUUAGCUUGAACUUUAUGAAUUCAUUUAAUGUGUCAUUGUUGCUUGGUCUUCUGUUGGUUAAAUUCCAUUCACUCCAUCGUGAAUUUCUUCAAGUAGAAGUUUAUAUACAAAGUUCGACUAUGGGAUGCAAACGCUGCUAAAUGUUCAUGUAACCUUAAAAUUUGAGCAUUAAGCAACAAUGGCUACAAUUACGAACCCCCUUAUGAGUGGCAAGUCUACAAGUGACCUAUUUCUUUUUCUCUUAUAAUAGCUUCAUCUUAUAAGUUUGGAAAAAUAGUCCCAAAAGUUCCCCGUACCAUUUUCUUGUAUUUUACUAAAACUAUAUAUAUAAUCUAAUGCAGAGUUUAUUAUACUUGCACUCAUUUUUCAAGGUACAUAGAGAUAUUAAAGGUAGUAAUGUAUUGUUGACAGAGUUAAAUAUUAUUUUACUAUCUAUAUUUACAAAAAUUUCUUGUUAAUACUUAUGCAGGUGGGUGAUUAAUUUACUUUAUCGUUCUAGAAAUCUUAGAAAGCCCUUUAAGUUAGAAUCUGUUAUAUAUGCCAGUGCAAAGGUACUUUUAUUAUGUCUGUCUUCAUUUAUAUCUCAAUUGACAUUAUUUUUACUUUGCUAUUUCUGUCAAAUUUCUAA
rnacentral:lncRNA from 1 species